rnacentral:rRNA from 1 species
GAUGAACGCUGGCGGCGUGCCUAAUACAUGCAAGUCGAGCGAACAGACGAGGAUCUUGCUCCUCUGACGUUAGCGGCGGAUGGGUGAGUAACACGUGGAUAACCUACCUAUAAGACUGGGAUAACUUCGGGAAACCGGAGCUAAUACCGGAUAAUAUAUUGAACCGCAUGGUUCGAUAGUGAAAGAGGGUUUGGCUGUCACUGAUAGAUGGAUUCGCGCCGCAUUAGCUAGUUGGUAAGAUACCGGCUUACCAAGGCAACGAUGCGUAGCCGACCUGCGAGGGUGAGCCGCCCUGAGAGAACUGACAGACACUUCAGAACCGUGAGGGAGGCAGCAGUACGGCAGGAGGCAGCAGGGGCGAAAGCUGCACGGUGCAACGACGCGUGAGUGAUGGACGUCGCGGGAUCGUAGAACGCUGUUAUGAGGUAAGAACCAAUGUGUAAGUACGUAUGCACGUGUUGACGGUACUUGAUCAGAAAGCCACGGCUAACAACGU